GGCCGACAUUCUCAAUGGAUGGGUACUCGUCUGCAAAACGAGUUUAGCACAGUUCGAUUCUGUCGUCGGCCU
rnacentral:tRNA from 1 species